rnacentral:rRNA from 1 species
AGGACGAACGCUGGCGGCGUGCUUAACACAUGCAAGUCGAACGGAAAGGCCCGCUUGCGGGUACUCGAGUGGCGAACGGGUGAGUAACACGUGGGCAAUCUGCCCCUAGCACUGGGAUAACUCCGGGAAACCGGGGCUAAUACCGGAUAUGACCUCCGAGGGCAUCCUCUGGAGGUGGAAAGGAUUCUGGCUAGGGAUGAGCCCGCGGCCUAUCAGCUAGUUGGUGGGGUAAUGGCCCACCAAGGCGACGACGGGUAGCCGGCCUGAGAGGGCGACCGGCCACACUGGGACUGAGACACGGCCCAGACUCCUACGGGAGGCAGCAGUGGGGAAUAUUGCACAAUGGGCGAAAGCCUGAUGCAGCGACGCCGCGUGAGGGAUGACGGCCUUCGGGUUGUAAACCUCUUUCAGCAGGGACGAAGCGAAAGUGACGGUACUGCAGAGAAGCACCGGCCAACUACGUGCCAGCAGCCGCGGUAA